UGCCUAAUACAUGCAAGGUCGAACGCUUCUUUCCUCCCGAGUGCUUGCACUCAACUGGAAAGAGGAGUGGCGGGCGGGUGAGUAACACGUGGGUAACCUACCCAUCAGAGGGGGAUAACACUUGGAAACAGGUGCUAAUACCGCAUAACAGUUUAUGCCGCAUGGCAUAAGAGUGAAAGGCGCUUUCGGGUGUCGCUGAUGGAUGGACCCGCGGUGCAUUAGCCAGUUGGUGAGGUAACGGCUCACCAAGGCCACGAUGCAUAGCCGACCUGAGAGGGUGAUCGGCCACACUGGGACUGAGACACGGCCCAGACUCCUACGGGAGGCAGCAGUAGGGAAUCUUCGGCAAUGGACGAAAGUCUGACCGAGCAACGCCGCGUGAGUGAAGAAGGUUUUCGGAUCGUAAAACUCUGUUGUUAGAGAAGAACAAGGACGUUAGUAACUGAACGUCCCCUGACGGUAUCUAACCAGAAAGCCACGGCUAACUACGUGCCAGCAGCCGCGGUAAUACGUAGGUGGCAAGCGUUGUCCGGAUUUAUUGGGCGUAAAGCGAGCGCAGGCGGUUUCUUAAGUCUGAUGUGAAAGCCCCCGGCUCAACCGGGGAGGGUCAUUGGAAACUGGGAGACUUGAGUGCAGAAGAGGAGAGUGGAAUUCCAUGUGUAGCGGUGAAAUGCGUAGAUAUAUGGAGGAACACCAGUGGCGAAG
rnacentral:rRNA from 1 species